GCAGUGUCUCGUUCGGCGAGGCUCCUAUGCAAACACAGGUCACUGAUCUGACGACGUCGAGAGACGCCCAAGGUUAGGACAGGCUUUAUCGGAUUAAGGUUUAGCCCAAAGUGACUUCCAACGGAUACGUUGCAUAGUGCCAAAACCUAGACGCGGAGAUCGCUU
rnacentral:sRNA from 2 species